AUGAUUUAUAGGACACUACAGUGUUGUCUAAUCAUGCAGUUCACAUUAGAGGUGGACAAACGGUCGGUUAUGGUCGGUGACGGACUCAAAAUGUCAAUCCAUAUGAAACCACUGUUACAGAAUUUAUAUCCAAUGUCGACCGUUCUUUCGGUUUGCUCAAACUUCGGAUUCGUUGGGUGUCGAUUGAACUCGGGUGGUUCAUUUCGGAUCAUAAAAAGCAAAUUUAAACAGAAAAAAUUGAGAGAAGACAAAUAG